rnacentral:rRNA from 1 species
GUGGGGAAUAUUGGACAAUGGGGGGAACCCUGAUCCAGCCAUGCCGCGUGUGUGAAGAAGGCCUUUUGGUUGUAAAGCACUUUAAGCGAGGAGGAGGCUACCGAGAUUAAUACUCUUGGAUAGUGGACGUUACUCGCAGAAUAAGCACCGGCUAACUCUGUGUCAGCAGCCGCGGUAAUACAGAGGGUGCAAGCGUUAAUCGGAUUUACUGGGCGUAAAGCGCGCGUAGGUGGCCAAUUAAGUCAAAUGUGAAAUCCCCGAGCUUAACUUGGGAAUUGCAUUCGAUACUGGUUGGCUAGAGUAUGGGAGAGGAUGGUAGAAUUCCAGGUGUAGCGGUGAAAUGCGUAGAGAUCUGGAGGAAUACCGAUGGCGAAGGCAGCCAUCUGGCCUAAUACUGACACUGAGGUGCGAAAGCAUGGGGAGCAAACAGGAUUAGAUACCCGAGUAGUCC